GAGAGAUCUCCCUUCAUCUACUGCUCCCAUAUCUGCCCCAAGGACCCAGCCUGGGAAGUGACUCACCUGGGAGCCUGGUGUUUCCCUUCUCCCCUUGUCUUAGUCAGGGCUGCUGUAACGAAUCACCAUGGACUGGGUGCCUUACACAACUAACAUUUCUCUCCCACAGUUCUGGAGGCUGGGAGGUUCCAGAUGAGGUGCCUGCAGCUUCAGUUCUUGGUGAGGGGUCCCUCCUGGCUUGCAGAUGGCUGCCUUCUCACGUGUGCUCUUGUGACCUCUUCUUUGCGUGCUGAGGAGAGAGCGCCUGUUCUCCUAAGGCACUAAUCCCAUCGUGGUGGCACACGCGCGUGACCUCGGCUAAACCUAAGUACCUUCCAGAGGCCCCUUCUUCAAACCGCACCACAUUGGGACUUAGGGCUUCAAUAUAUGAGUUUUGGGGGGGACACAUUCAGUCCACAGCACCCCUCGUCUUCCCUGCAGACCGUGGGCCCCAGAGCUGUUGACUCCAGUGCAAAGUGAGGCACUGGGUAGGUGCUCAGUAAACACUUGUUGAGCGGGAAGCAGUUGAAUGAGCCCUGGUUUUGUGAAGUCUCUGAGGACUUGGGCUUUCCUUUCUGUCCAGAAGGAGGACUGCGGAACGUACUGAAACCCCGGGGUGCCCAGGAGGAGGAGGAGCUAUGCGGGUCUGGAUCAGCUUUGUGGUGUCUGGUGAAACAACUUCUCUUAAGGAUAAAUAGAGGAAAGAGAUGGAUGUCAGAGAGAGGAAGCCCCAGGUUUGCGUCUUGGUGCUGCCAUGGAGAGGCUGUGCGACCUGGGCAGGAAGCUUUCACUGGGAUGUGGGCGAUGAAGAGAGCAGAUAUAGGAGGGCUGAGUGCACGUGAAUCCCAAACGCAGAGAGUCUCAGGUUGGCUGAAGAUUGCAAAUUUACCAGAAACUUUGCUGUUUUUGAAGAUGAGCGGGCUAGAGGAACAGUCAGAAUUAGUGGAGAUUCAACGUAAGUAUUGAAAAGUAAGGAGAAUCUGUAUCUAUUUCAUUAUAAUGUGUAUGCAAGUAUGUGUGUGUAAAUAUGCUUUAUGUCUAUCUUUAUCUGUCUUCUACCUAGCUAUCUAUUUAAUGUAUGCAUGCCGACAAAGUUUGGAAGAAAUGUUUUGCUAAAAGAAAAAUAAUUACAGUAGAGUGGUGGAAUUCAAGUAAUUAGAAAAAUUUUAUUAGUAUUUUAUUAGUGUUUGAAUAAAUUAAUGUUUAAAAAUAAGUAUCA
rnacentral:lncRNA from 1 species